rnacentral:lncRNA from 1 species
CAUGCUUGGAUGAUUCUUUAUGUGGUAUUUUAAAACUUUGAGUUUAAUUUUUUUUUUAUAUUUCUAGAUUUUGAUAUUAAUGUAUUUAAGAUGAUGAUGAAGAUUAUCAAGGAGAAGAAUGAGGAAGAUGAAGUUCUAUUAGAUUAGAUUAAUUGAUAACUAUGCAUGAACAUUAGAUGCAUGAGCGCGAGUUCGAAUCUACAAUAUCUCAUUUGCUCAUCUUUAAAAGUGAAGUCCAACUAUUAGACAACUUGACAAAAAAUAAUAAUGAAA